UUUGGGGUUGAGUCCUUAUUGAGACCAACCGUACAACUGCUAGGAUUUUCCCAGCAGUUCUGGAUGUUGAGAACCUAUAGUUCAAGAGGAAGUUGGAUCGAAUGAUGGAGAUCAACCAUAAGCUUCUUACAGUUGGAGAAAGCCAAGAAAUAGCCUUGGUGAAAAACUUAAAGAGGGUUCCCCUCAUUGUAGGUUUGACUAC